UUACCUAUUGAUUACAAUUGCGACGAAGGCAGGUUAUGCUAUUGACUAAAUAAUGUACAAAGGUUUAGAUUAAAUAUAAAUAUACAUAACAUUAAAAAGAUGAUUUAAGGGUUCGUAGCAGCUUUUUUUUUUCGUUGCAAAUAACGUUCUCGCGCAGAUUGUACUUGAGUUUCUGUAGUAUUGCGACUUGCGUGUAUUUUUAACGCAGCUUCUCUUGAUUUUUGAAAUUCCUUUUCUUUCUGGAGACGUUGUCGAUUUUCAAAUUCUUUUCGUUGUUUGUCAAUUUCCUCUAGUGAGUAUGUCCCAUGGCGUUUAUCUGGGCGAUCUUGAUGAUACCUAGUCGAUGGAGAAAGUGACCGUUUAUAGCUUGACUUAUGAUUCCGUUUCUUAUCAUCCCUCAUUGAAUUGUUAGCAGAUGAUUUUCGAAUAUUCAGUCCAGCAGUCAAGAUUUGACGUUGAUCUACUAUCUCAUUAUUAUCAUUCAAUUCCAAUUUCAGUCCUUUCUUUUUAGCCUCUAGGAUUAAAUUAUCACUACCAAGAGUAUCUUGUCCUUUCAUAGCAUCUCCUAUUUCAGCCCCGGUUUUCUUUGAAUUUUGAACUCCUUCCACAGCUGCCUGGUGAAUCUUUUCUUGACGGUCUAACAUGGAAGCAUAAAAAUCUUUCAUUCCAGUAGUCGUAUCAGUAAUUGAUUUCUCAUCCUCUUCUUUACGAUCUUCUAUUGCUUUUUGUACUUCUUCACGAUGCUUCUUGUAACUACUGGUUACAAAUUUUUCAGUUGCAUCAUCACCUUCGAGCUCAUUUUUUUUUAAGAGAGCUCUUUCGCGAGCCAAAAGUAAAUCUCUUUUCCUUUUCUUUGCAGAUUCUAUUAGAUUUUCCAUAUACUUCGGUCGACGAUCCUUAGAUUCGAGUCGCUUUAACUCCAUUUGCUCCCUCUCUGCACUUUUCAUACUGUCAUAAAAUUCGUCAAAGCCAUAAACUAAGUCAGUUAGUCAUAGAAUUCAUUUGUAAUUUCUCUUACUUGAAGCAUCGUAAUUGUCAUCUUUACUUGCAUCGCUAGCAGCAGUUAUUUGUGAACUGAAGCUAUUGGGAAUAGGUGCAUGUUCUUGUUCCGAGGAUGAAGAAUCGUCUUCUGUAAAGGUUAUACGAUUUGAGGAUUCAUUGGGCUUCUUUUUUUUCAUAACAUUUAGCCCAUAUCGGAAACCUGUUCCUGACAUUUUAUAAGAAGACCAGUUAGAACUAAAAAGAACUUAAAUAUUAAGUUUCAGUUUUUCAAAGAUUAAAACAAAUUAUAAUUGCGG